rnacentral:lncRNA from 1 species
CGUACCAUCCAUCCCCUUUUUGAACAACUCUGGCCGUCAGUGAAGUGCAGAUUGUUUGUGACUGAUGUCAAUCGUGCCUUUCAUUCACUGGACCAGCCAAACAUUUCUUCCCCUCCUCCUGUUUUAGUCACCCCUUUGUCCAUCCAGAGUCCUUCUCCUCCUCGCCGCACUAAACAGUCUGCUCGUCCAUCUUCUUCUCUCCCUGCCAAGCCUACUGCAGC